GCCAAAAAGACAAGCGAAACCUGCCGCAGACGAAGGGUUUUGGGAUUGUAGCGUCUGCACCUUCAGAAACAGUGCUGAAGCCUUUAAAUGCAGCAUCUGCGAUGUGAGGAAAGGCACCUCCACCAGAUACAAACUUUUUCAACGGUCGCAUACAUAGAAGUGCACAAAUCGUGAUGAUGUCCACACCUUUCCACAUCUCCUCAGGAGCUGGUGAUUCCCAGAUACUAUUUGUUAACCUGCAUCACCACUCCCAUGCACACGAACACAGGACAAACAAAUCCAGCUGCUUCCUGGCAUCUCUACUUGAACAACUUAAAGGCAAUUCAGAUCCCACAGGGUGAAAAGCUGAAUUCAUCUAUCAGAGUGUUUUCUAAAAUCCCAAGUAGAUUAUGUCCCAUUCCUGCUUAAAAUGAUCUCCUGAUUCUCAUUGCCUUUUGGAUAAAAUCCAAUCCUGAGUAUCAACAAGGGGCUUGUGAUUUGGUCCUUUUCUGUGUCAUUCUUUAGAAUUUCUGGAAGCAGCCUAUCAUCGCUCCGUCUGCCCUCCAUACACAGCGUUUGUGUGUGUUAUGCCAAACUGCUUGGUGUUUUCCAACCGUGGACCAUGAUAUCUCACUUCCUUAACCUUACCUUCAUAUGCUUUUCCUUUGUGUCUUCUUCUGAAAUGCUUCUUCCUUUUGUCCAGGCUGACUCCUGUUUGUCUGAGACUUGUGUCUCAGGAAGCCUUUCCGUUCCCCUCCAGUCAUUCAUACCUCUGUCAUAACACAUAGACUGUAUUUUUAAUUUGAUUUCCAAUCUGUCUCUUUUAGGUUGUCACCUUUUUUGAGGGCAAGACCUUUUUGUUUCAUGGCUUUAGUUUGCUGUGUUUGUUACAGUGCCUGGCAUUUGGUAGGGGUUGAGUAAAUGUAUACAGAAUAAAUGAAGCCUGGGAGAAGGAGUUCCAGUUAAGAGUUCUAAUAAAUAACUGUUUUUU
rnacentral:lncRNA from 1 species